rnacentral:rRNA from 1 species
AUUGAACGCUGGCGGCAUGCCUUACACAUACAAGUCGAACGGCAGCGGACCUUCGGGUGCCGGCGAGUGGCGAACGGGUGAGUAAUAUAUCGGAACGUACCUUUCAGUGGGGGAUAACGUAGCGAAAGUUACGCUAAUACCGCAUAUCUGUGAGCAGGAAAGCAGGGGAUCGCAAGACCUUGCGCUGAUUGAGCGGCCGAUAUCAGAUUAGCUAGUUGGUGAGGUAAAGGCUCACCAAGGCGACGAUCUGUAGCGGGUCUGAGAGGAUGAUCCGCCACACUGGAACUGAGACACGGUCCAGACUCCUACGGGAGGCAGCAGUGGGGAAUUUUGGACAAUGGGCGCAAGCCUGAUCCAGCCAUGCCGCGUGAGUGAAGAAGGCCU